GAUGAACGCUGGCGGCGUGCCUAAUACAUGCAAGUCGAGCGAACAGACGAGGAACUUGCUCCUCUGACGUUAGCGGCGGACGGGUGAGUAACACGUGGAUAACCUACCUAUAAGACUGGGAUAACUUCGGGAAACCGGUGCUAAUACCGGAUAAUAUAUUGAACCGCAUGGUUCAAUAGUGAAAGACGGUUUUGCUGUCACUUAUAGAUGGAUCCGCGUCGCUUUAGCUAGUUGGUAAGGUAACGGCUUACCAAGGCGACGAUGCGUAGCCGACCUGAGAGGGGGACGGGCCAAACUGGAACUGGGACACGGUCCAGACUCCUACGGAAGGCAGCAUAAGGGAAUCUCCCGCAAUGGGCGAAAGCCUGCCGGAGAAACGCCGCGGGAGGGAUGAAGGUCUUCGGAUCGUAAAACUCUGUUAUAAGGGAAGAACAAAUGUGGAAGUAACUAUGCACGUCUUGACGGUACCUAAUCAGAAAGCCACGGCUAACUACGUG
rnacentral:rRNA from 1 species